rnacentral:rRNA from 1 species
GACGAACGCUGGCGGCGUGCCUAAUACAUGCAAGUAGAACGCUGAAGAGAGGAGCUUCCUCUUCUUGGAUGAGUUGCGAACGGGUGAGUAACGCGUAGGUAACCUGCCUUGUAGCGGGGGAUAACUAUUGGAAACGAUAGCUAAUACCGCAUAACAAUGGAUGACACAUGUCAUUUAUUUGAAAGGGGCAAUUGCUCCACUACAAGAUGGACCUGCGUUGUAUUAGCUAGUAGGUGAGGUAAUGGCUCACCUAGGCGACGAUACAUAGCCGACCUGAGAGGGUGAUCGGCCACACUGGGACUGAGACACGGCCCAGACUCCUACGGGAGGCAGCAGUAGGGAAUCUUCGGCAAUGGGGGCAACCCUGACCGAGCAACGCCGCGUGAGUGAAGAAGGUUUUCGGAUCGUAAAGCUCUGUUGUAAGCCAAGAACGGGUGUGAGAGUGGAAAGUUCACACUGUGACGGUAGCUUACCAGAAAGGGACGGCUAACUACGUG